rnacentral:tRNA from 2 species
GUUUAUGUAGUUUAAUCAAAAACAUUACAUUUUCAAUGUAAAAACAAAAGAAGUCUUUUCAUAAAUA